rnacentral:misc_RNA from 1 species
AUAUAUAUAUCAACCACUCUUUGUGGGCGGUUUGGAUGUGGGGGGUUUUUUGCUGGCCCUAUUAUAAGGGUUCAGCUCUCCUGAAAUGCAUUAGCGGAACAGCCCGUUCAUUCUAUUGGUGUGAUAACUAUCUACGCUAUUGGGUGUGAGGCAGUUCAGCUUCCUAACAGUCCCUUGGGGGACAGCUUAUCAUCUUU